AAAAUUUUAAAGGUCGAACAGACCCAAUUUUCUAGCCUCUACACCAAAAAUUAAUUUUAAUCCAACAUCGAGGUCGCAAACUUUUUUUUCGAUAAGAACUCUCAAAAAAAAUUACG
rnacentral:rRNA from 1 species